rnacentral:rRNA from 1 species
AGCGAACGCUGGCGGCAGGCUUAACACAUGCAAGUCGAGCGGGCGUAGCAAUACGUCAGCGGCAGACGGGUGCGUAACGCGUGGGAACGUACCUUUUGGUUCGGAACAACACAGGGAAACUUGUGCUAAUACCGGAUAAGCCCUCACGGGGAAAGAUUUAUCGCCGAAAGAUCGGCCCGCGUCUGAUUUGCUAGUUGGUGAGGUAACGGCUCACCAAGGCGACGAGCAGUAGCUGGGCUGAGAGGAUGAUCAGCCACAUUGGGGCUGAGACACGGCCCCAACUCCUACGCGAGGCGGCAGAGGGGAAUAUUGGACAAUGGGGGCAACCCUGAACCAGCCAUGCCGCGUGAGUGAUGAAGGCUGUAGGGUUGUAAAGCUCUUUUGUGCGGGAAGAUAAUGACGGUACCGCAAGAAUAAGCCCCGGCUAACUUCGUG